CCUACGGGUGGCAGCAGUGGGGAAUAUUGCACAAUGGGGGAAACCCUGAUGCAGCGACGCCGCGUGAGUGAAGAAGUAUUUCGGUAUGUAAAGCUCUAUCAGCAGGGAAGAAAAUGACGGUACCUGACUAAGAAGCCCCGGCUAAAUACGUGCCAGCAUCCGCGGUAAUACGUAGGGGGCAAGCGUUAUCCGGAUUUACUGGGUGUAAAGGGAGCGUAGACGGCAGCGCAAGUCUGAAGUGAAAUCCCAUGGGUUAACCAUGGAACUGCUUUGGAAACUGUGCAGCUGGAGUGCAGGAGAGGUAAGCGGAAUUCGUAGGGUAGCGGGGAAAUGCGUAGAUAUUAGGAGGAACACCAGUGGCGAAGGCGGCUUACUGGACUGUAACUGACGUUGAGGCUCGAAAGCGUGGGGAGCAAACAGGAUUAGAUACCCUUGUAGUC
rnacentral:rRNA from 1 species